rnacentral:rRNA from 1 species
CUUUGUGUUUGAUCCAUUGCUCAGAUUGAACGCUGGCGGCAUGCCUUACACAUGCAAGUCGAACGGCAGCAUGAUCUAGCUUGCUAGAUUGAUGGCGAGUGGCGAACGGGUGAGUAAUACAUCGGAACGUGCCCUGUAGUGGGGGAUAACUAGUCGAAAGAUUAGCUAAUACCGCAUACGACCUGAGGGUGAAAGUGGGGGACCGCAAGGCCUCAUGCUAUAGGAGCGGCCGAUGUCUGAUUAGCUAGUUGGUGAGGUAAAGGCUCACCAAGGCGACGAUCAGUAGCUGGUCUGAGAGGACGAUCAGCCACACUGGGACUGAGACACGGCCCAGACUCCUACGGGAGGCAGCAGUGGGGAAUUUUGGACAAUGGGCGAAAGCCUGAUCCAGCAAUGCCGCGUGUGUGAAGAAGGCCUUCGGGUUGUAAAGCACUUUUGUCCGGAAAGAAAUGGCUCUGGUUAAUACCUGGGGUCGAUGACGGUACCGAAGAAAAGCCGACCCC